GUGUUGUACAAAGGAGAGAAGUUUAGUACUCCCCUUGAUAAGGAUGGGACGGGCCUUAAUGGCCUUACAACACAGAAAUGGUUAAGGCAUUGCUAUCUACUUACUGGCAUCUCACCAUGUUCU